UCCGGCUAAACAGUAAAAAGACUAAAAUAACCCUCUCUGCCCAUACCCGCUGAAGGAAGGGCAGUCUCGUCUUCUCCACCGGCUACCCUCGGGCCAUAGCAUGGAGGUCAUCUUCCAGAAGGGCCUCUCGGCGGCGGCGGCGGCGGCGGAGGAAGGGCGACGCCCCCUUCCGCCUCUGGUGCUCGUCCACAUGUGUUCGUCCACGGGAGGUUCCACUUGGCUUGGCGCUGGGCCGAGCACUGAUUCCCCUUCUUCUCCCGCGCCGGCUUCGCGGCUACGCCCUUAACCUCUUGGGCCAGGAGCUAUGCUUGUAUGUGCUGUUCCUCCGCCUCUAAUAUGUUACUGAACAUGCAGAAAAAGGUGGUCUAGUGUGGUGGCAUCUCGUAACCAAACUGAUUGCCACUGUUAAGGCACUUGUUUGCACUACUGCACAGGCUCAAACACACCUUUGAUGGCCAUCACGAAGAUUUGUGAAAGAAGAUCUAACUUGAGAAAAGAAGAUGAAACCAUUCAAUUCACAGUGACACUCAGCUUGCUGCAAAAGUUUUUGCAAAUUCACUGCCCCUUUGCAAAGAAACAAUUUUCUCUUCAGUGAUGGAAGAUCUACUGGUCCUAAGCCCAUGUGAUAUAAAAAGGGCCACAUUUGGUUUGAGACUUCAAGGAGAAAGAACUCCACUUUUACCCAAUUUGAAUCUUGGCAUCAGGAGCUAAGGAAAGAACAUUUGAAGCUGCCAUUAUUCGACCUAAAAAAGCUUAGUGCAUCUUUGCAUGUACCUUCAGUGUUGAAGAAUUCUAUACAACUCCUUAUAAUGGGUGCAAGUGAUAACUUCAUAGUUGUUUAGGCGGCAAGGAUGACUGUAAUCUUGUAACUGCCAAGGUUUAAGAAUGGACCGUCUGUCAACUUUUCUGCUCUUUCAUGGAAAUGUUUAAGCCAGCUGCUUUCAUCCCAUAGAUAAUUUGCUGGUAACCAAUGGAAAGGGACUUAGAUGAGAUGAGGUUCUUAUUCUGAACCGUCAAUGCUCCUGAUGGUAGUUUGUUUAAGCUUCAAGGGGAGAACAACUGAAGGCAAAAAUCUAUAAUUUAUAAUUUUGCAUCUUUGUGUGUAUUUGUGCUUGUGACUUGUGUUCACAUGCACAUGCAAAUGUGCAUGGAUGCAUGCAGGCACACACAUAUGUAUACAUAUGUGCAUGCAUAAAUGUGUGUAAAUAGACAUUUAUUAUGGAACAUUAAAAGACAAUAGGUGCCUCUUCCAUCAUCUGCAUUUUCUUUCCUUCUCUUUUUCUGUUUCUGCAGAACAUACAUUGAAGGUAUUAUUUUAUGGUACUUUAUUGUUCCUUAUAGAAAAUAAUGUCUUUUAGAUUUUCUUCUUUGGGUGUGUUUGUUGUUUCUUUAAAAAGUGCUUUUGCAACUUCUAAAGCAAAAAUGCACUUUCCAAAAAAAAUGUUUGGUGACAUUAUAUAAAAAGUGCUUCGACAAGAAGAAAAGUAGGAUAAAAAAAAAACUCUUUUAGGGGAAGCUAGAGAACCUAGCUCCUAGGUUCUCCUUUUCUUUCCUCUUCUGCUUUAUUGCUUGCUGUAGAUAACUUAAAGCCAUCUUAUGGACCUCUGACUUCUAGACAAUAAAAGACCGUAUUUGUGGCUUCUCAUUCUGACAUUAUUAUGCCUUAAAAAUAUCAUACUCUUGAUUAUAAAUUUAUGAAA